CUAUGAACAAGUUGAAUUGUGGCCAUGCCCGGGACCGUUCAGUCAAAAUCGGUUGGGUCUUCGGUACGGACGUGACAGCGGUUGAUAAAAAUACGGCAACGAUGGCAUUUAAACGGCGCACAAAACUGACGGAUAACGUGUGUAAAUUUAAUAUGCGGUUAUGGAAUUAGCUGUCUGAUACGUUACGUUAUUUCGACAUGCUCGUGUUUAAUGACCUUUGCAAAACUCACCUAUUGCUUUGGCCAAUUAAGUGUGUGUGUGCGUGUGUAUGUAUAUGUGUUAAGAAAGGCAACUGAUGCGUGAAACUUACUUGUGUGAUAUUGUUUUCAAAGUGCGCGGGCAAUUAAAGUUUCAGACUCGCUGACGAGUGACGCCUGAUGGUUGUUUCCUGAUGGACGCCUGAUGGUUGCCUGAUGGUUGCCUGCUGCAAGUCAGGACUUAAAUUGCAUGUCACGGUUGUUACAUGACAUGAAACUCUGCGUGAAAAUACCAUAAAGUUUAACGUACUAAGCCGUAUUGUCUGCUUAAAGCAAACACAAAUACACCGAUUAACAACGGAAUUGGGUGACAACCAUAAAAUCAACAAUAACAACAGCAACAAUAACAAUGGCUGACAAAUCAAAAGCCCAAAAAUACACAUUUUUAGGCAUGUGGAUUUGCAUAUGGAGUAAUGACUAAGAGGACUUCAAUUAAAGGAUAAUUUUUGUAAACUGAAUUAUUGGGCAAAUUAUUUGAUUACUCCUCUCACAAUGGCCACUCAGACCGCCGUAGACCAACAAUGGAAGGCAGACGCCACAAAUUCAAUUAAAAUUCAGCCGAAAAUAUAUGCAAAUUAUACAAUGGCAGAAGCGAUGGAAUGAUGGACUGUUGGAGCUUCAUAUUUAGUGAAUGUAAUACUUGCAUUUAAUAAGGCAUUCGGAGCUUGGAAUUGCUUAACUCAAGACUCAAUACUCAGCCAACUGUAAAUAGCAACAGGCCGAAAUUUAUGCGAAAACUUGCUCAAAGUAAUAAGCAAAGAAAGCUAAACAAAAAUAAAAAAGCAAUGCCAACA